AGCUUUGCGCAGCAGCAGCAUCAUACCCAAUGAUGUUAAACCGAGGCAUGAAUAUUGCUAAAUGAAACACUAAUUUCAGUACCAC
rnacentral:snRNA from 11 species